rnacentral:rRNA from 1 species
AUACGGAGGAUCCGAGCGUUAUCCGGAUUUAUUGGGUUUAAAGGGUGCGCAGGCGGGAGAUUAAGUCGGCGGUGAAAUUUUGCAGCUCAACUGUAAAAGUGCCUUCGAAACUGGGUUUCUUGAGUGUAGAUGAAGUAGGCGGAAUUUGUGGUGUAGCGGUGAAAUGCAUAGAUAUCACGAGGAACUCCGAUUGCGCAGGCAGCUUACUAAACUACUACUGACGCUCAGGCACGAAGGCGUGGGGAUCAAACAGGAUUAGAUACCCUGGUAGUCCACGCAGUAAACGAUGAUUACUAGCUGUUUGCGAUACAAUGUAAGCGGCUGAGCGAAAGCGUUAAGUAAUCCACCUGGGGAGUACGUUCGCAAGAAUGAAACUCAAAUGAAUUGACGGGG